UGGCACAGUGAUUGAGUGCUCAGCUGCUAACUGAAAGGCCAGUGGUUCGAAUCCACU
rnacentral:tRNA from 1 species